CUCCCAAAGUGCUGGGAUUACAGGCGUGAGCCACCACGCCCGGUCACCUUUGUCCUGUUUUCUACAGGUUAGAAGCAAGGCACAAGUCAUACCUACAUUCAAGGAGAGGGGACCAUGCAAAGGAUAAACUGCAGAGAGACAACAGAUUUACAUCCCAGACACAUUCACACUGGGCCAAGAGCAGCUGCCAUUGCAGAUUCGAGUCACGUCCUUUUUUCCUUCCUUCUCCUUCUUGGAGUUACAACAGAAGCUGGGGAGGUGAGAGUGCAGAAAGGACGUGGAUGAAGCAGAGAGGCACGUGCCUGUCUCAUUCGCCUCUGGAUCUGCUGCAUCCAGGACUGUGCCAGCACAAAGUGGGAGCCCGAUAAAUAUUUAUUGAAGAAAUGAAAGGUGACAAAAGGCAGAAGGAGGGAGACCCCAAAAAGAGACCCCAGGCUCCAGAAGCAGAUGAGGAGACAAACAGAAGAGCAGAAGAAUGGCAGAAUGGCACAGCAGAGAGAAGAAAAGGAACAUCUGAAUGUUGAGAGGAAUUUGGCUGGGGGCGGUUGGAGAGGAGAUUAGCCACUGGACAGCCAAACUCCAGGGGAAGAUCAUCUUCCCACUCCAUCCCCCUUCCAGCUCCCCAUCCAUCCUGCUGAGAGCCACCUCCACCACUCAGUGAAACCGCUGCAUUCAUCCUUCAAGUUUAUGUGUGACCUGAUUCUUCCUGGACAUUGGACAAAGACCUAGGUCCAGUGAACUGUCUAACACUUAAGUCAUCCACGGACAGCAAGGCUAACAGAACGCUGUAACAUGUGCCCACUUGGACUCUGGGAGUUGCAGACACCCACCCAUAGGUGCUGCCAUGGGUCCGGAGCCCAAAAAGUGCUUGCCCUGGCUCCUGCACCUGCCCGUCUGCAUGCUCCCCCUCCGGUAAGGGGUUUGAGGAUGUGGCGGCUGAACAUAAGAGCUAUGCCCCUGUCACACAUCAUGGGACAGGGGUCAGGGAACUCUCCCAUUUCACUUUCAAAUAUUCCAGGUCCCCUUUUUGUUCGGGAGCCAGAGUCUAAUGGAGACAGAGAUAGAAACCCUGAAAUAGGAUCCAGGCAAUAUAAACCUACACGCUGUAAGCCAAGUCAGAGUGAGGCUGAUGUGAUAACAAAAGUCUGAAUACAAGGUGGGAGACAAUUAUUCUGACUGAAAGGGAGGCAAGAGUUCUGCCAUAGGCUUGAUGCUGUGUGCCCCUGGCUUCCUAACUCAUUUGCAAAUGGAAAAUACUAUUCCAUUGUAGGAACCUUCUUUUUCCAUGUGUCUGGGGAAGGAGAAAGAAUGGCUGGGCUGAAUGAAUUUAUCCCUUGGUCCUCUUCCAACAAAGCUCAGCUAUGAAAGAUAAAUCCAGCUCUCCCCACCCCCUCUCAGUGGAGCUGGGGAGAAAUCAAAAGCCCCUCUGCCAAUAAUGAGACCAAAGUUUGCAAGGGCAGGACGAGCCCGUGCUAACAGAGAAAGUGUUGUUUCCUCAAUUUGGUUUUAGACUGUCUUGUCCUAUGGGGGAGAAAAGAUCUGCCCUUGGGAGAGGUGCCAACUUUAUAGAUCUAUUAAUAAAAGAACUGGCAGGCUUACAGUUCUUGCCAAUGAGGAAACUUGAAUGAGAGAAGCCAGGCUCAACCUUGGCCAACAGACUGGAGCCCAUCACCCUAACUUCACCCCGCUUCUCCUUACCCAACCGUCAAAGGCUAGGCAGCACCCACCCAGCAGCUUCCACCUGGCUGAAGCCUGCACCUGCUUCAGACCAAGGGUUAGAUGGAAAUUUGGCAUGGGAAGAGAGGGCUCACCUGUGGGCAGGAUAGACUCUAUCCAAGAAGGAGAACUGAAAAAUGAAAACCUAUGAGACAAGGGGUGAUCCUGAAGGCAGGCAGGAGAAAGGGCUGGAGGGAGAGGCACUGGGGAAUUUUUCCUGGUGAAUACUGAAGUUACUAGAUGUUUUGUCUUGCAAAACUCAAGGGAAAACUCUCAAACUCUAAUGUUUGUCUAUUCUGUGUCCAAACUGUCCUUUUGAAACGGACCCACCUUUCAGUAAAGAAACUUGCAUUGGCCUGCCC
ensembl:lncRNA TCL6 T cell leukemia/lymphoma 6